rnacentral:snRNA from 1 species
GGAUGUGAGGGCCAUCUUAGUGUGGCAUCUGUCACUUCAUUGAUUGUCAGGGUUAACUCAGCAGCUCUGGUGGGCUAGNUGGAUGCCCCCUUUCUACCUCACUGCUCCAUGUGCGUCCCUCACAAAGCUCUGUGCUCAGUGUAUGAAGAUGACCUUCCCUGAGUGAGGAGGCUAGUUCUUCAAUCUCUAAGGGUCUGUGAGUAGCUGCUUGCCCCUUCUAGAACCUCUAAGACAAGUUCUCGAGAUCCAUUUGUAGGGGAGUGUAGGACAGUUAAGCUUCGAAGACUCCAAACACAGCCCACAUGAGGUGCUACAUGUGGCAGUCUGUCUUUCUUU